UACGUAGGGUGCGAGCGUUAAUCGGAAUUACUGGGCGUAAAGCGUGCGCAGGCGGUUCGUUAAGUCUGAUGUGAAAGCCCCGGGCUCAACCUGGGAAUGGCAUUGGAAACUAGCGGGCUCGAGUGUGGCAGAGGGGGGUGGAAUUCCACGUGUAGCAGUGAAAUGCGUAGAGAUGUGGAGGAACACCGAUGGCGAAGGCAGCCCCCUGGGCUAACACUGACGCCCAGGCACGAAAGCGUGGGGAGCAAACAGG
rnacentral:rRNA from 1 species